rnacentral:rRNA from 1 species
GACGAACGCUGGCGGCGUGCUUAACACAUGCAAGUCGAACGGAAAGGCCCUGCUUUUGUGGGGUGCUCGAGUGGCGAACGGGUGAGUAACACGUGGGUAACCUGCCAUUGACUGUGGGAUAACUUCAGGAAACUUGGGCUAAUACCGGAUAGGAUUUCCUGCUGCUUGGUGGGGGUUGGAAAGUUUCGGGGGUUGGGGAUGGACUCGCGGCUUCUCAGCUUGUUGGUGGGGUAGUGGCUUACCAAGGCUUUGACGGGUAGCCGGCCUGAGAGGGUGCCCGGCCACAUUGGGACUGAGAUACGGCCCAGACUCCUACGGGAGGCAACAGUGGAGAAUAUUGCACAAUGGGCUGAAGCCUGAUGCAGCAACGCCGCGUGCGGGAUGACGGCAUUCGGGUUGUAAACCGCUUUCGCCUGUGACGAAGCGUGAGUGACGGUAAUGGGUAAAGAAGCACCGGCUAACUACGUG